rnacentral:rRNA from 1 species
GACGAACGCUGGCGGCGUGCCUAAUACAUGCAAGUAGGACGCAGUUGCGAACGGGUGAGUAAAGCGUAGGGAACUACCUAUUAGAGGGGGAUAACUAUGGGAAAAGAUAGCUAAAACCGCAUACUAGUAGAUGGACCUGCGUUGUAUUAGCUAGUAGGUAGGGUAAAGGACCACCUAGGCAACGAUACAUAGCCGACCUGAGAGGGUGAGCGGCCACAUCGGGACUGCGACACGGCCCAGACGCCUACGGGAGGCAGCAGUAGGGGAUCUGCGGCAAUGGGGGGAACCCUGACCGAGCAACGCCGCGUGAGUGAAGAAGGUUUUCGGAUCGUAAAGCUCUUUUGUUAAGGAAGCGGUACUUAACCAGAAAGGGACGGCUAACUACGUGCCAGCAGCCGCGGUAAUUC